UACGGAGGGGGCUAGCGUUGUUCGGAAUACUGGGCGUAAAGCGCACGUAGGCGGCUUUGCAAGUUAGAGGUGAAAGCCCGGGGCUCAACUCCGGAAUUGCCUUUAAAACUGCAUCGCUAGAAUUGUGGAGAGGUAAGUGGAAUUCCGGAGUGUAGAGGUGAAAUUCGUAGAUAUUCGGAAGAACACCAGUGGCGAAGGCGACUUACUGGACACAUAUUGACGCUGAGGUGCGAAAGCGUGGGGAGCAAACAGG
rnacentral:rRNA from 1 species